rnacentral:rRNA from 1 species
CAAAGAUUUAUUGCUUUGAGAUGGACCCGCGGCGCAUUAGCUAGUUGGUAAGGUAACGGCUUACCAAGGCAACGAUGCGUAGCCGACCUGAGAGGGUGAUCGGCCACAUUGGAACUGAGACACGGUCCAGACUCCUACGGGAGGCAGCAGUGGGGAAUAUUGCGCAAUGGGGGAAACCCUGACGCAGCAACGCCGCGUGGGUGAUGAAGGUCUUCGGAUUGUAAAGCCCUGUUUUCUGGGACGAUAAUGACGGUACCAGAGGAGGAAGCCACGGCUAACUACGUGCCAGCAGCCGCGGUAAUACGUAGGUGGCGAGCGUUGUCCGGAUUUACUGGGCGUAAAGGGUGCGUAGGCGGAUGUUUAAGUGGGAUGUGAAAUCCCCGGGCUUAACCUGGGGGCUGCAUUCCAAACUGGAUAUCUAGAGUGCAGGAGAGGAAAGCGGAAUUCCUAGUGUAGCGGUGAAAUGCGUAGAGAUUAGGAAGAACACCAGUGGCGAAGGCGGCUUUCUGGACUGUAACUGACGCUGAGGCACGAAAGCGUGGGUAGCAAACAGGAUUAGAUACCCUGGUAGUCCACGCCGUAAACGAUGGAUACUAGGUGUAGGGGGUAUCAACUCCCCCUGUGCCGCAGUUAACACAAUAAGUAUCCCGCCUGGGGAGUACGGUCGCAAGAUUAAAACUCAAAGGAAUUGACGGGGGCCCGCACAAGCAGCGGAGCAUGUGGUUUAAUUCGAAGCAACGCGAAGAACCUUACCUGGACUUGACAUCCCUUGCAUAGCCUAGAGAUAGGUGAAGCCCUUCGGGGCAAGGAGACAGGUGGUGCAUGGUUGUCGUCAGCUCGUGUCGUGAGAUGUUAGGUUAAGUCCUGCAACGAGCGCAACCCUUGUUAUUAGUUGCUACCAUUAAGUUGAGCACUCUAAUGAGACUGCCUGGGUAACCAGGAGGAAGGUGGGGAUGACGUCAAAUCAUCAUGCCCCUUAUGUCCAGGGCUACACACGUGCUACAAUGGUAGGUACAAUAAGACGCAAGACCGUGAGGUGGAGCAAAACUUAUAAAACCUAUCUCAGUUCGGAUUGUAGGCUGCAACUCGCCUACAUGAAGCUGGAGUUGCUAGUAAUCGCGAAUCAGAAUGUCGCGGUGAAUACGUUCCCGGGCCUUGUACACACCGCCCGUCACACCAUGAGAGCUGGUAACACCCGAAGU